UAACCUGCCUGGUAGAGGGGGAUAACUAUUGGAAACGAUAGCUAAUACCGCAUAAUAGUAGAUGUUGCAUGACAUUUGCUUAAAAGGUGCAAUUGCAUCACUACCAGAUGGACCUGCGUUGUAUUAGCUAGUUGGUGAGGUAACGGCUCACCAAGGCAACGAUACAUAGCCGACCUGAGAGGGUGAUCGGCCACACUGGGACUGAGACACGGCCCAG
rnacentral:rRNA from 1 species